rnacentral:rRNA from 1 species
UACGGAGGGGGCUAGCGUUGUUCGGAAUUACUGGGCGUAAAGGGCGCGUAGGCGGACAGUUUAGUCAGGGGUGAAAUCCCAGGGCUCAACCCUGGAACUGCCUUUGAUACUGGCUGUCUUGAGUACGGGAGAGGUGUGUGGAACUCCGAGUGUAGAGGUGAAAUUCGUAGAUAUUCGGAAGAACACCAGUGGCGAAGGCGACACACUGGCCCGUUACUGACGCUGAGGCGCGAAAGCGUGGGGAGCAAACAGG